rnacentral:rRNA from 1 species
GACGAACGCUGGCGGCGUGCUUAACACAUGCAAGUCGAACGGAAAGGCCCUGCUUUUGUGGGGUGCUCGAGUGGCGAACGCGUGAGUAACACGUGAGUAACCUGCCCUUGACUUUGGGAUAACUUCAGGAAACUGGGGCUAAUACCGGAUAGGAGCUCCUGCUGCAUGGUGGGGGUUGGAAAGUUUCGGCGGUUGGGGCUGGACUCGCGGCUUAUCAGCUUGUUGGUGGGGUAGUGGCUUACAAAGGGUUUGACGGGUAGCCGGCCUGAGAGGGUGACCGGCCACCUUGGGACUGAGAUAGGGCCCAGAAGCCUACGGGAGGCAGCAGUGGGGAAUAUGGCACAAUGGGCGGAAGCCUGAUGCAGCAACGCCGCGUGCGGAAUGAUGGCCUUCGGGUUGUAAACCGCUGUCGCCUGUGACGAAGCGUGAGUGACGGUAAUGGGUAAAGAAGCACCGGCUAACUACGUG